rnacentral:rRNA from 1 species
GACGAACGCUGGCGGCGUGCUUAACACAUGCAAGUCGAACGGGCCCGCCCCUGUUUUUGGGGGUGGGUUGAGUGGCGAACGGGUGAGUAUCACGUGAGUAACCUGCCCCCUGCUCCUGGAUAACUGCUUGAAAGGGCGGCUAAUACGGGGUGUGCCGGCUGGUCCGCAUGGGCCUGGUCGGGAUAGUUUCAUCUUCGGGUGUUUCGGUGGGGGAUGGGCUCGCGGCCUAUCAGCUUGUUGGUGGGGUGAUGGCCCACCAAGGCGGUGACGGGUAGCCGGCCUGAGAGGGUGGGCGGCCACACUGGGACUGAGACACGGCCCAGACGCCGGCGGGAGGCAGCAGUGGGGGGUAUUGCACAAUGGGCGGAAGCCUGAGGCAGCGACGUCGCGUGAGGGAUGGAGGCCUUCGGGUUGUGAAACUCUUUCUCCGGUGGGGAAGGCCCUGUCCGUUGCGGCGGGGUUGACGGUAGCCGGGUAUGAAGCGCCGGCUAACUACGUG